UAUGACAAGUAGCCCUAGCCGGUUUGGCUCAGUGGAUAGAGUGUCAGCCUGCGAACUGAAAGGUCCCAGGUUCAACUCCGGUCAAGGGCACAUGCCCGGGCUGUGGGUUCGAGCCCCAGUGGGAGACUUGCAGGAGGCAGUGGAUCAAUGAUUCUCUCUCAUCAUUGAUGUUUCUAUCUCUUUCUCCCUCUUUCUUCCUCUCUGAAAUCAAUAAAAAUAUUUUUUUAAAAACUAACCAGAUUUUGAUUAAUAAUUCAAUUCUUUAAU